AGGUUAUUUGAUUUGUUGUCAUACUCUGCAGCCAUAUCGGACUUCAGAUUCAUAUCACAGUCCCAGCAUAUUUCAAACUCAUAGACUCAAAGGACCACUUGUCUUCAAAUUCAAGGGACCAAUAGCCUCCCUCAUCUUUCCAGUAGUGAGUGUAAAGAGUUUGCCUGAGCCUGUUGUAACUUUGAUGAGACAACCAUGAUUCUGAGUAUUUCUGAGGUUCCUAGUCAGUGGCCCAGUUCUGGAAAGUUUCUUCAGAUGAAAAACUGGGAUCUGCGGGAGACAUCUUGGAUUCUGGACUCCACCUAUACUACUCUGCACAGAGGAUAGCUAUCUGCCCGGCCCAGGAGGGCUUUGCCUGAGCAUCUGCAGGAGAUAUCUUGGAUCCCGGACUCCACCAAGACUACUCUGCACAGUUAAAUCCAGUUCAAUCUCCUUCAAGUGAAAGAGAAAGCCAAGAGGUAUACAGAGGGAGUAGGCUUUGCUAUCAUUGGGAACAGAACUCUGGAAUCAAGGU